rnacentral:lncRNA from 1 species
GGUUUGUUUCUUAAAUAUGGAGAAAAGGCAUAAAUCUUGGAAGAACUAGGGUUCUCUCUUUUUACAUAUCAGAGAUUGCAGUUCUUCAGAGUCUCAUUUAAUAAUUUCUCAAGAAAAAAAAGAAAUAGAAAAAGACAGAAGGAGAACACAACCUGAUCCUAAAGAUUGCCAGUGUCAUCAGAAACAUGAUAUCAGGGUGACUGACAACCAAAGAACAGAAAGCAAAGGUUGUUCUCUGGAGUUUCUGCCAAGCCAAGGUCAUCAAAACAAAGGAAGGCCCAAACACAAACCUGGUGACUCUGAAAAGACGAGGUAAGAAAUCUUAUUUAUUUUUUAAUUUAUUAUUAUUUUGAGUUAUUUUUUGUAGCACUUAAGAAGGAGUUAAUGCAG